CGUAGGCGGCUAGUUCAAUUUAGAGUAAAAGACUGAGGUUGACCCUCUUUCAUCUCUUUUGACUGACUAGCUUGAGUUUUAGAGGCGAUAUAUUGAACUCCUUAAGUAAGGGUAAAAUCUGUUGAUCUUUGGAGGACAUCGAAAGCGAAAGCAAUUAUCGAUCGAGAUCUGACGCAAGGUACUAAAGUGUGGGUAUCAAAAAGGAUUAGAGACCCUUGUAGUCCACACUUAAACCAUGAGUGUUCAACAUCCUAUGAUAAGGUGGAACUCUAAUUUCUUAGAUGUGUUUUUUACAGAUAUCAGAAAUCUGAGAAAUUAGAUUUGUUCUUUACCAGAAAUCUAAGGGGAUUUAAAGCUAACGCGAAAACACUCCGCUGGGGAAUGUGGCCGCAAGGUCUAAACUCAACGGAAUGACGGAGACUUGUACAAAG
rnacentral:rRNA from 1 species